rnacentral:lncRNA from 1 species
AGUGCUGUGGCUUUGUCUGCCUAGAACCCGUGGAGGUCUUGCUCAUGUUGCCUCAGUAUCCGUGAGUUCAUACCUGUCCCAGUCCUGUUGUGGAAGUCACUAACACCUCUGGCUAUUACAUGGUCUUAUCUCUUCUGCAAGGUAAAUUCCUGAAAUUUGAAGGGAGAGGUUUGAUGGAAACACUCUCUUUGAGCUGUCCAUUCCAAAGUCUCCUACUCUCUGCCCAUUGUCCAGUUGUGUGGUUCUUUGUUACUCCCCGUCUUUUAAAAGAAGCUUCUCUGAUGAGGGACGAGGCAGGCACUAAGUGAAACCCAUUGAAAUAAGACAAUAUGUCAUUAGGAGUCAUUUUAUUCCUAUGAUUUUUUUUAAAUCAAAAUAAUAGGAGUAGGUACCCUUAGACUCAUGACUGAUGUUAGGUCCUGCUUACUUUAGUAAUAUCAGGUAUGGUUUCUAUCAUAUGGAGUGAGCCUUAGAUCCAACAAAAACGGGGUUGGUUGUUCCCAUAGCACUUAUGCCAUUUCUGCACUACUGUCAUUUGGAGGCAGAUUGUGGUUGUAUGUCUAAAGAUGAUAGUAAUGAUUGAUUUUUGUUUACUUCUCUAGCAGUGAGUGGUGGAAUCGGUGAGAGAGGAGGCAAAAAAUGAGGCUGACUAAAGUCAAAUGUAAUAUGCAACUUUUUUUCAGAGGAUCAGACAAUUUAUAUACCCCAAGAAUUAAGAAGAGACACAUGAGUAAGUUGUCCAUUCACAAGCACAACCUAUAUGUGGCUUCGUAAAGGCAUAAAAAUAAACAACUAUAACCUGUUGUAAUGAAUAAUGUGCAGAAAACUCACUCCUAUCUUCUACACCCAGGGAGAGCAUGAUAAUGCAUUCCAAGUAUGAGUCUGCUUUUGAAGGAUCUGAGAGGACAAGAAUCUUGAAUUGUUUUCUUUCAAGAAUCUUGAAUUGUUUGAGAAUUCUCACAAAACUUCAUUCUCAGACUGUGUUCUGAUUUUAUUUCCCUUGUUAGUGUGUAGAAUAAUUCUUGCUCCUUUGACCCUAGUUAGUAGCUUCUAGUUAGGCACCACAUUGAUUUCUUCAUGUAGUUGAUGUCUUCAAAAGUAGAGCCUUACUAUCAGGAUAUAUCAAGCAAACAAUGGCAUGGCUAUGUGUUUGGUAGGGAGCCCUGUUUGAGACCCCUUUGGACAAUGAUACAAAGUGUAAAUCGUUCUAGUAUUGAUUUUACUUUGUGGCCUACAAUGUCUUACUGGGCCAUUGUUUCCCUGUUAUAUGGUGACUUCAUUUAAUUUUUACACACACACACACACACACACACACACACACACACACACACACACAUGGAAGCUUCUACAGUAAUAGAUCCAUAAGGGCUUUCAAAAUGUCAUCAGCGUUAGCUGUUCCUCUUUUUAGUUUCUCCUUAACCCGGCUCUCUCAUGCCCUUCCCAUGUAAUGUGUCCAUUCUAGUUUUACAUUUGUCUCUUUGAAUAUAGUAUUCUAUUUCCCCUUCCUUGGAAGUUCACCUCUUCACCGCUGGUCCCUUACUAGUUACCUAACUAGUGUGGUUAUUAGAAUGAAACACACAUAUCCAAGUCUUAAAAGCAAACAAGCAACUAGGAGAGAAAAUAAGAACUGUGUCCUUUGGGAUUUGGGUGAUCUCACUCAGGGUGAUUGUUUUUACCUCCAUCUACUUACCUUCACUUUUCUCAUUUUCAUUUUUCUGAAGAGUUGAAUAAUAUUCCAAUGUAUAAAUAAAUUACAUUUUUUGUAUUGACAUCUAGUCUCUUUAUAAUUUCCAGCUAUUUUAUGACUAGAACAGACAUGAACAUUUAUGACCAAGCAUUGCUGUAGAAGAUGUAGAGUUUUAGGUAUAUGUCCAAAAGUAGGAUAGCUGCAUCAUGGAGGAUAUUGAUUGUCCUUAUUUGAAGAAACUGCACAGUAAUUUUCACAGUGUAUAUACCAUUUAAUUCUUUUCAAACAAUGAAUACAUACCCACACAACCCCUACAUCCUUGCCAACAUCUGCUGUCAUUUGUUUUAUUAAACUUGAUCAUUCCUAGUGGGUAGUUUGAAACUUCUAAGUAGUUUUGAUUUGCAUUUUUUUUCUGUCAGAUAAGGACACUGAACAUUUCUUUAAAGUGUUUUCCAGAUAUUUGUGUUUAGUUUCUCAUUACUACUUUAGAAAUUAACAUAAAUUUAUUGGUUUAUAAAACAUGCAUUUAUUUUUGCACUUCCUGGAGGUCAAUUAUCUUGAUGGUUUAAAAUCAGCAUGUCAUCUUGAGUCUUUACUGUGAUACUAUUUUUUCCGUUCAAUUCUGUGGCUCAUUUCCUCUCAUUAUUUACAAGAAACAUACUGAAAAAUUCAGACAAUUGCUUAUCGCCUGCCUUUUCUCUAUCAUCUUCAUAUCUUCCCCAAUUAUUCCAUCUUAAUUUGAAUCACUUACCAGGUUCAUUAUAGAAUUAU